GUGGGGAAUCUUCCGCAAUGGACGAAAGUCUGACGGAGCAACGCCGCGUGAGUGAUGAAGGUCUUCGGAUUGUAAAGCUCUGUUAAUCGGGACGAAAGAGCCUAGUGUGAAUAAUGCUAGGAAGUGACGGUACCGGAAUAGAAAGCCACGGCUAACUACGUGCCAGCAGCCGCGGUAAUACGUAGGUGGCAAGCGUUGUCCGGAAUUAUUGGGCGUAAAGCGCGCGCAGGCGGAUCUGCCAGUCUGUCUUAAAAGUUGGGGGCUUAACCCCGUGAUGGGAUGGAAACUACAGAUCUAGAGUAUCGGAGAGGAAAGUGGAAUUCCUAGUGUAGCGGUGAAAUGCGUAGAUAUUAGGAAGAACACCAGUGGCGAAGGCGACUUUCUGGACGAAAACUGACGCUGAGGCGCGAAAGCCAGGGGAGCGAACGGGAUUAGAAACCCCGGUAGUCC
rnacentral:rRNA from 1 species